AAGGAGCUCUGGGCAUCUGUUGGAGGCUCCUCCGUGACAGUAGGUCUCCCAUAGGAGAUUGCUGAGUCCGGAGGCUAGGCAGAAAUGAGGAGUGUGUCUGUGGCCUGCCGUACUGGCAGCUUGGGCCAUCUGUAUGGGCAGUUCCUGCUGGGUGUGGACAUUCUCCAUCACUUCAAGUGCCCUGCAAGCCCAGGGUCCUCUCUGGGACUGUGAGGGUGUCUAGAAAUGUCUUCCUUCCAUCCAACAGAAUCAAAAACAACUGUCUAAGCCAAGCGUGUGUUGUCCCAAAAAAUCCGGCCCCGGCACCAUUGUGGGUUUCAGAUGUGAAGUUUCGUUUCUGGGAUCGGGAUCUGAGUCUGAGGCUUCUCAUUGUGAUUUCUCAUUGUGCCAGUUACACCAAAGCCCAUGGUCCAUUCUAGGUUUGCUGGUGACCGGGCUCCUCGUUCCUUGCCAGCUUGGCUUCCCUUGGGUUGGAAACCUGCUCUCACCAAUUAAUGCAGAGAGCUGAAGCAUUCCUUCACAGCAACCCUUGUGCAGUCUUCCCAGAGCUCAGACCGUUUCCCAAGCUCAGACAGGUGUUACAUUGCAAGACUGAGAUCUGAUAGGGGGCUGGAAGCCUGUCUCUGGCUUGCCACGCCCCUCCAUGCCCUGCUGAUCUUCUGUUCACCCCAACUCUCCAACUCUGUCAGCGCUGCGUCAGUGCAGAUACUGAGUGUUAAUUGUCAAGUUGGAGGUACCCAGAAGCACCUGAGAGAUGGGCUUCUGGGCAUGCCUGUGGGGGACGAUCAUAAAUGAACUGAUGCAGGAAGACCCAUCUGAACUGAGGGCAGGACCUGGUGUGGAUCCUGGACUGUAUAAAACGGAGCGAUGAAGCUAAGAGAAACAUGCCCUUCUUGCCUUCUGCUUCCUGAUUGUAGAUGGGAUGUGAUCAGCUGCAUCAGGAUCCUGCUACGGAUGCCCUUGCCUGAACCGUGAGCCAGAAUGAACCAUUUUCCCUUGA